UACGCUUUGAUUGUUUGAAUGG
rnacentral:miRNA from 1 species